UACAGGCGCGAAUAAAAAAUCAGCAAAAUCUUUUAUUUUCACUUCGCGCUCCCCAGACUUCCCCCUCUCAGUAAAAACUUUUUACUUAUCCUAGCUUUCCAAACGAUUCAUCGCUCCUUCUCUCUCUCAAAACCCUUGAUAUUCCUAAACUCCUAAAACACUCAUCGCUCAAAAUCAAGCAUCCUCCGGCUAAAUAAUAUUCUUGUCGAUCUCUGGGAAUUAUUCAGCUACAUCAAGAGUAUGUUUCUUCACUUCUUAUGUUCUGUUUCGAUUUUUUUAUAAUGAAGUUCAAAAUUGUUUUCCGUCCGUUUCCUUUUUUUCUUUCGCUGUUUUUUACCUAAGGUUCUUUGAUUGAGUUUUUUCUUAGUUGGUAUACUAAUUUUUGUUGUAUGGAAGUAAUAAGUGAGGAUGUUGGAUUUGAUGUUGGUGCUUGAAAGGAAAGAACCUGUUCCACCAUUAUUUUUUUUGCAAUAAUAAUUGUUUUUGUGUGAAACCCCUAAUCUUUUAAUUUUUUUUUGGGAAAGAAGUUCAUAAUAGAUCUAUUUUUUGUGCUGGAGCAAGAAUUUCUGUUUAACUGAAUCGAUCGAUUUUGUGUUGAUGUCUCAAUUUUAUGGACUUGAAGUUGUAGUUUAACAGUAUUAAGUAAACACCUUGUAUGUUUGUUUAACAACGUUAUGGCCUACUUCAUCGAUUAGGCAUAUACUGGAAGCAUUAGUUCCGAUGAAACCUGCAUCUUCUGAGUUUUGAAUUUACAGAGAAUAGUUCUGAGUUUUCUUAUUUUCUCUACUUCCAUUUUCGCUCUGGUUUUGUUUUCAAUCUUCUCCUCUUAUUCUAAUCUCGUCUAUGUUGUUCCAAAUUUCUCGAAUGUCCCGCAAGUGUCGAGGAGUACUCUUAACCUUUGAUAGUCAAAGCAUGAAGCGUGCAACUGUACCAGAUUACAUGAUCUCCAUUCUAUCUGAAGUAGUUUAUGGUGUCUAUGAUGUAUAUCUAUAUGUUUGAGUAGUAUAUUUGUCAGUUUCUGCUAGUGCCAAUAUUUACAUGAUGCUCGUAGUAUACAUGUUAUUUUUUAUCCUCCCCAAGAAUUUUCAUAUUUUAGCGUAAAUAUUUAAUUUAGAUCUAAUAUAGCUAUUUCACCUUAUUUUG
rnacentral:lncRNA from 1 species